rnacentral:rRNA from 1 species
UCAAGCGAAUAAGCGCACACGGUGGAUGCCUUGGCGGUCAGAGGCGAUGAAGGACGUGGCAGCCUGCGAAAAGUAUCGGGGAGCUGGCAACAAGCUUUGAUCCGGUAAUGUCCGAAUGGGGAAACCCACCCGCUUGCGGGUAUCCUGCAGUGAAUACAUAGCUGCUGGAAGCGAACCUGGUGAACUGAAAUAUCUAAGUAACCAGAGGAAAAGAAAUCAACCGAGAUUCCGUAAGUAGCGACGAGCGAACGCGGACUAGCCCUUAAGCUGAUUUGGUUCUAGGAAAACGCUCUGGAAAGAGCGGCCAUAGAAGGUGAUAGCCCUGUAUCUGAAAGGGCCAUUUCAGUGAAGACGAGUAGGGCGGGGCACGUGAAACCCUGUCUGAACAUGGGGGGACCAUCCUCCAAGGCUAAAUACUACUGACCGACCGAUAGUGAACCAGUACCGUGAGGGAAAGGCGAAAAGAACCCCGGAGAGGGGAGUGAAAUAGAACCUGAAACCGUGUGCGUACAAGCAGUAGGAGCUCCGCAAGGAGUGACUGCGUACCUUUUGUAUAAUGGGUCAGCGACUUACUGUUCGUGGCAAGCUUAACCGUAUAGGGGAGGCGAAGGGAAACCGAGUCUGAUAAGGGCGCAUAGUCGCGGGCAGUAGACCCGAAACCGGGUGAUCUAGUCAUGCCCAGGGUGAAGGUGCGGUAACACGCACUGGAGGCCCGAACCCACUCCCGUUGCAAAGGUAGGGGAUGAGGUGUGAUUAGGAGUGAAAAGCUAAUCGAACCCGGAGAUAGCUGGUUCUCCUCGAAAGCUAUUUAGGUAGCGCCUCAUAUGUAUCCUCUCGGGGGUAGAGCACUGUUAUGGCUAGGGGGUCAUCGCGACUUACCAAACCAUUGCAAACUCCGAAUACCGAGACGGACUGUAUGGGAGACACACGGCGGGUGCUAACGUCCGUCGUGAAAAGGGAAACAACCCAGACCCACAGCUAAGGUCCCAAAUUUUGUGCUAAGUGGAAAACCAUGUGGAAAGGCACAGACAGCCAGGAGGUUGGCUUAGAAGCAGCCACCCUUUAAAGAAAGCGUAAUAGCUCACUGGUCGAGUCGGUCUGCGGGGAAGAUUUAACGGGGCUAAGCACAGAACCGAAGCUUGGGGUGCAUAACUUUGUUAUGCGCGGUAGAGGAGCGUUCCGUAAGCCGUUGAAGGUGGAUUGAGAAGUCUGCUGGAGGUAUCGGAAGUGCGAAUGCUGACAUGAGUAACGAUAAUGCGGGUGAAAAACCCGCACGCCGAAAGCCCAAGGUUUCCUUGCGCAACGUUAAUCGGCGCAGGGUGAGUCGGCCCCUAAGGCGAGGACGAAAGUCGUAGUCGAUGGGAAGCAGGUUAAUAUUCCUGCACCUCGCGUAAGUGCGAUGGAGGGACGGAGAAGGUUAGGUGUACCAGGCGUUGGUUGUCCUGGGGAAAGGCGGUAGGUUUGGAUCUUUGGCAAAUCCGGGAUCCUUUAAGACCGAGCACCGAGACGAGCCUUUAAGGCGAAGUCACUGAUACCACGCUUCCAGGAAAAGCUCCUAAGCUUCAGCUUACGCAGACCGUACCGUAAACCGACACAGGUGGGUAGGAUGAGAAUUCUCAGGCGCUUGAGAGAACUCGGGUGAAGGAACUAGGCAACAUGGCACCGUAACUUCGGGAGAAGGUGCACCCUUUUUGGUGGCUCAUGCGAGCUAUAGCUGAAGAGGGUCGCAGUAACCAGGCCGCUGCGACUGUUUAUCAAAAACACAGCACUCUGCAAACACGAAAGUGGACGUAUAGGGUGUGACGCCUGCCCGGUGCUGGAAGGUUAAUUGAUGGGGUCAGCCGCAAGGCGAAGCUCUUGAUCGAAGCCCCAGUAAACGGCGGCCGUAACUAUAACGGUCCUAAGGUAGCGAAAUUCCUUGUCGGGUAAGUUCCGACCUGCACGAAUGGCGUAACGACAGCGGCGCUGUCUCCACCCGAGACUCAGUGAAAUUGAAAUCGCUGUGAAGAUGCAGCGUUCCCGUGGCAAGACGGAAAGACCCCGUGAACCUUUACUAUAGCUUUACACUGAACGUUGAGUUCGUCUGUGUAGGAUAGGUGGGAGGCUAUGAAACCAUGGCGCUAGCUGUGGCGGAGCCAUCCUUGAAAUACCACCCUGUCGUGCUUGACGUUCUAACCUGGGCCCAUUAUCUGGGUCGGGGACCGUGUAUGGUGGGUAGUUUGACUGGGGCGGUCUCCUCCUAAAGAGUAACGGAGGAGCUCGAAGGUACGCUCAGCGCGGUCGGACAUCGCGCACUGUGUGCAAAGGCAUAAGCGUGCUUGACUGCAAGAUCGACGGAUCAAGCAGGUAGGAAACUAGGACUUAGUGAUCCGGUGGUUCUGUAUGGAAGGGCCAUCGCUCAACGGAUAAAAGGUACUCCGGGGAUAACAGGCUGAUACCGCCCAAGAGUUCAUAUCGACGGCGGUGUUUGGCACCUCGAUGUCGGCUCAUCACAUCCUGGGGCUGUAGUCGGUCCCAAGGGUAUGGCUGUUCGCCAUUUAAAGUGGUACGCGAGCUGGGUUCAGAACGUCGUGAGACAGUUCGGUCCCUAUCUGCCAUGGGCGUUGGAGAUUUGAGAGGGGCUGCUCCUAGUACGAGAGGACCGGAGUGGACGAACCUCUGGUGUUCCGGUUGUCACGCCAGUGGCAUUGCCGGGUAGCUAUGUUCGGAAGCGAUAACCGCUGAAAGCAUCUAAGCGGGAAGCGCGCCUCAAGAUGAGAUCUCCCGGGGCACAAGCCCCCUGAAGGAACCAUGUAGACUACGUGGUUGAUAGGUCAGGUGUGUAAGUACAGCAAUGUAUUGAGCUAACUGAUACUAAUGAUCCGUGCGGCUUGACCA